UAGAGAAGUUUGAAGAACUGAGAUCCCAAAUGUUGAUCCAGAAUCCUUCCCUCAGUGAUGCUUGUUUCCUAUCUAGUUUCAUAGAAUGAUUGAAGGCAGAAAUCGAACUCUAUGUCAAGGUGUUUAGAUCACAACUGUAGAGCAAGCUACAAACAAGAGAGAGCUCUAGAAGCUACGCUGAAGAGAUCCAAGUUCACAUCUACACCAACACGCACGACAAGAGCUCAUACAGCCGAAGGAAAGUAAGGAGCUUCAGCCAAUCCUAAGGUGAUUCCUUU
rnacentral:lncRNA from 1 species